GCCAUUUUGUGUCCCGCCGCCUGCGGGGGCGCCCGCGCGGGCUGGGCCGGGGCGUCGGGGGGUCUCCUUGCUAACAGAAGCCCGUAGCGGCGUCUCUCUGCCCGCCUCCCGCCGCCUCAGGGCUUCGGGCUGCCUUUGCGGUGCUUCGUGUAGCCGUGCGGCGCGGGCCCGGCCGCAGGCAGCGGGGUUGUUGGGGAGGGUCACACCUCGGCCGAGCUGCCGCGGCCGGGAAACGGCUCCCCAGGCUCGCUGUGUCCCCCCGCGCUCUGCCAUUUGGAGCCGGGCAGGAGGCGAGGCUCAGCCGGCGUCCUGGCAGCUGSGUUACUGCAGGAACAUGUUUGCCUCGCGGUGGGAGGCAGCGGCUCGCGCUGGCGGCGCUGGGCCCGAGCCAGGCCCCGCGCUGAGCGCAGCGGGCAUGCUGAGGCGCAGGCCGAAGGCAGAGGCCUGAAACUGCCGCAGCCAGCAGGACCCACAUCCAUGUGGUGUUGAAGGCAUUCAGUGCCCAGACAGUGCAGCGGCCAAGUCCGAGCACAUCUCCACCCCAGGCUCCUCCUGUCUGUUAUUACCGUGGCCAUGUCUUCUCCAUCUGGCCAGCCAUUUCCCACCCGCACACAGGGAAGGAAAGGAGGAGAAAGCCCUGGCCUGCCCUGUUUCUCCCUCAGAACCGCAACAAGGCAGUCUGGGUUCCCAGAAAGAAAUCCUCAGCUCUUACCAGGCGCUGCGGUCACGCGCACGCUGAUCAGUCAUUCAGAGCACACCUGCCUCAGGCGUGUCCACGUGGGCACGCGUGUGCUGCUCCGCUGCACGUUGCACGAGUGCAGGACCCUCAGCCCUGCCCAGCUGGCAGAACCGUUCCUCUUCAGCAGUGCCGAGUCUAUAAAAACACCCUAGCCAGGUGGCCUGGACUUGUGGCACCCGGCUGCCAUGUGUCUGAACAUGCCACUGUCACGUGUGCUGAGGUGCCCGCACGGCGCCUGCACGGGAUCCCAGUGUCCAGGGCCUCCCUGUCCCUGUGCUGUCGGGACGCUGUUGGGAGGAUGACCAGAGAGGCCUUCCCAGCAACCUUUCCUGAAGCCGGACAAACCCUCCUGGGGAUAUUAGCAAAUCUACGCUGCUGGAGGGACCUGCAUGUGCCCGCUGACCGUCACCAUGGGCACCUCCGCGAUACUCGCCCAGGGUGAUGCAGACAUGCCUGGGUGACGUUCCCCUCCUGGCUAUGGCCCUGAAUCUGUCUGCAAACCGUCAUCAGCCUGGGGGCUGAAAUGGGACCUUGUCCCUGUGGUCUCAUCACUGCCGACCACUAGCGGGGACAAGGAAAAAUCACAUCUUCUGGGGAAACGGCCAGCCGGUCUGGCCCUGGGUGCAAUGUCCCGCAGUGCCAGGGCUUUCUGUGGCUCUGAUCAAAUGAGCUGGUGAAAGCAGCAGCGGGUCACCUUGGACCGGAGGUGGCCACGUCAGUGUGCAAGUUCAUCAAUGUGAGGAUCACAGCCUCCGUCAUGUCACCGAGUCCGUCCCCAACCUCUUCACCCUGGCUGCAGGUUGCUGCCAGCCUCUGAAGCCCACCGCUCCCAGCCGCCACGGGAGGCCAGCACAGAGCUGACCCUGUCAACCAGCCCAAGGGCUAGCGCGUGGGACACGCUGCGCUCACAAGAUGGCCCUGCAGAUUGUUUCUCAGAGGCGCCGGGGGCUCUGACUCCAGAGCAGCACGAGAUCACAACGCCGGUUUCACUCGCAGCGUCCCCUUAGUACCCCGCAGAGCCAGAUGCCAUCAAGUUAUUUUUAAAUGCUUCGUAUUUUGGGUUAAAGUCUUUUUUUUUUUUUUUUUUAAUUAUUUUCUCAUGCAGGGAACCCUUGGUACACAGCCAGCAGAGCGAGGAGUUUGAAAUCCCCAGGCUCCUGUUGCCUCCAAGAUUGUAAAUUGCCUGCAUAUAAAAUCAAUUAAAAAUAAUUUUGAACAUUAACAAAAUAAUGAGGAGAAAUGACUGAUUUUUUCUCUCUGUCUCCUUGUUCUUCUCCUUGCUGGGAGCAAUGUGACAUGGCAGCAGGGGGUAGGGCGGGCUGGGGAGGGAGGUGGAGGGCUGGCAGCUCUCAGCUGUGCGGCUGUGAAAGUCUUCAUGCUUCGAUCAAAGUGUUUCUUGAGCAGCGAGAUGUCUCUAUCGACCUGCCUGACUGGAGAACGGCGUAAAGCACAAGUGAUGUGAGUUGAGAGGGUCUCAGCCAGGUACCAAGAUGAAUACAGGCCACAAAUUUCAUCCCAAUCAUGCUUAACGUAGAAGGUAAGAAAUGUAAGGGCUGGACUAGGACAGCAAUGAGUAUGGGAUAGAUGCGUGGAGGGAUGGACGGUUAAAUACAAGGUAUUUAAGUGCUGGGAAGCCAUGACGAGUAAGUGCGGGGCAGGCAGACGGCUGGCUGGCGGGUCAGACAGCUGUGGAUAUAGUGGGGAUAGCAAAAGAGGGGCUUAACAGGGCGGCACUGGGCUCUGCAGCCGCCCUGCCAGGGGCUGUGCCCGCCUGCCCAGAUGCUCCUCAACCCCUCGCCUCAGGCUCUGUGCUGGGCGCACUUCACUUCUCUGCUCCGCUUCUUGCACRGGCCUUGUCUUCCCUCCCCUUCCCCUCUGCACCCCGCCAGGGCGCCCGGGGUGGAUUUCACUCGUUUUGUCUCUGCGGACGUGCCCAGCUCUCAUUGACAGGCUCCGCUCGUCCGCUGGAAAAGCAUCUGUCAUCUCUUGCGGAGGUGUCAGAGCGGCAUCAGCCAGCACAAAUUAAACCCAUCCAUCAGUUUGGCUCCCUCUGCCCGUUAGUUCAGCAGCAAAUCGGUGAAAUAAGUGGAGGGGAGGAUGCCGGGACCAUAAGAGUUUUGGGAGAGGAAGAGCAAGGAUUUGGGACUGUCACAUGGGGAGGAGACGGGCAGCAGGCUGCUGUGUUGCUGUAUUUGCCAGCAGCCAGGAUAAGCCUGAAUCAAGGGCCAUCUCGCAAAGCUACAGGGAUGGUUUGGGACAGUGUUUUUAGAGGGUUUUAUUUAUUCAUAUUUUUUUAGCAUGGGAUCCAUCCAGAGUAAGAGCCAGCGCUGCUGUGGGGUACGAAGGCAAAGGAAGAGCCUCAAAGCCUUCCCAGCCCCCUCUCCUGGGAGAGACGGGCAACAGCCAUCUCCCAAGGGGUAAAAUAUCUCCAGCCCAAAAGUCGUGCCGCCGCUGGCGCACAAAAAUCCCGAGUCCUCUGGAAAAGUCCCUCGUGCCGCGGCUCGCUGGGGCAGGGUUUCCUCAGCAUAAUUUCCCACACGAGUCCCAAAGCACCAAGAACUUUUUUCUGCGUCAAAACAGAGAGACUUAAACGUCAAAAGGAGCAAAGGAGCUCUGGGCAGUUACAGCCCCCAGCCCCUGCUGUCCCUGCCCCCAAAAUACAUSUUUUGGCAUCUCCAAAGCUGUCCAAAGAGGUGGGCGAGCGGAGGUCUGGGGGGAGAGGGAGGCUGGACUCUCACUCACCCARGAAAUACAGGCUGGGUUUUUAGCAGAGCAGGGCAUUGAGCCUGACAACCAGCUCCCGAGGAAGGGGAAGCUUCCCCAUCUCAUUUUGCCUGUCGUGGCACCCUUCAUUAGCCUGAUUUYGCCUGGGAAGCUGGGGGACGCUGUGCUGAGCCCGCAGGGGUGAGGGGCUCUCCCGAUGCACGCGCAGGGCCGGCUCCGUGCCCCACAGCUCCCUCUGCAAAGGCUUAUCAGCCCGUGCCCGCGGCGCCUGGGACCCGACCAGGCUCGGCUCCGGGGUCCGUUGCGUCCCCUCCGCUAUUCAUGCCACCCCCCUUUGUCCCUGCCUGGUAAAAGAAGAGCCCAAAAAUAAUAAUAAAAAAAACAACAAUCAGGAAUUAAUAUUCA
rnacentral:lncRNA from 1 species